CGGCCGCGUCGACCGAAGAACCUUACCAGGUCUUGACAUCCCGCUGCCCGGUGUAGAGAUACGCCUUUCCCUUCGGGGACAGCGGUGACAGGUGGUGCAUGGUUGUCGUCAGCUCGUGUCGUGAGAUGUUGGGUUAAGUCCCGCAACGAGCGCAACCCUUGAUCUUAGUUGCCAGCAUUCAGUUGGGCACUCUAAGGUGACUGCCGGUGACAAACCGGAGGAAGGUGGGGAUGACGUCAAAUCAUCAUGCCCCUUAUGACCUGGGCUACACACGUGCUACAAUGGACGGUACAAAGGGCUGCAAACCCGCGAGGGGGAGCCAAUCCCAGAAAACCGUUCUCAGUUCGGAUUGCAGGCUGUAACUCGCCUGCAUGAAGCCGGAAUCGCUAGUAAUCGUGGAUCAGCAUGCCACGGUGAAUACGUUCCCGGGCCUUGUACGUCGACGCGGCCGAGUCGUGGAGG
rnacentral:rRNA from 1 species